rnacentral:rRNA from 1 species
AUGAACGCUGGCGGCGUGCCUCAUCCAUGCAAGUCGCGCGAACAGACGAGGAGCUUGCUCCUCUGACGUUAGCGGCGGACGGGUGAGUAACACGUGGAUAACCUACCUAUAAGACUGGGAUAACUUCGGGAAACCGGAGCUAAUACCGGAUAAUAUAUUGAACUGCAUGGUUCAAUAGUGAAAGACGGUUUUGCUGUCACUUAUAGAUGGAUCCGCGCCGCAUUAGCUAGUUGGUAAGGUAACGGCUUACCAAGGCAACGAUGCGUAGCCGACCUGAGAGGGUGAUCGGCCACACUGGAACUGAGACACGGUCCAGACUCCUACGGGAGGCAGCAGUAGGGAAUCUUCCGCAAUGGGCGAAAGCCUGACGGAGCAACGCCGCGUGAGUGAUGAAGGUCUUCGGAUCGUAAAACUCUGUUAUUAGGGAAGAACAAAUGUGUAAGUAACUAUGCACGUCUUGACGGUACCUAAUCAGAAAGCCACGGCUAACUACGUG